rnacentral:rRNA from 1 species
GUUUUWCAAAAACAUCUUUUCUUGUUAGUUUUUGAAGUAUGGCCUGCCCGCUGAUUUUAGGUUGAAGGGCCGCGGUAUUUUGACCGUGCAAAGGUAGCAUAAUCAUUAGUUCUUUAAUUGUGAUCUGGUAUGAAUGGCUUGACGAGGCAUGGGCUGUCUUGGAUUGGAAUUGUUUAUUGAAUUUGGUUUUUGAGUUAGAAUUCUUAAAUGUUUUUAUGGGACGAGAAGACCCUAUAGAGUUUAACAUUUAUUUAUAUAGCUUGUUUAUAGGUUUGUUUUGUAGUUGCUUUGUGUUAAUGUGUUUUGUUGGGGUGAUGGGAAGAAUUUUCUUAACUCUUCUUUAUUUUGGUAUAUUGAUUUAUAUUGGUUUUGAUCCAUUUAUUUUGAUUAUAAGAUUAAAUUACCUUAGGGAUAACAGCGUUAUCCUCCUUGAGAGUUCUUAUUGGCGGGAGGGUUUGCGACCUCGAUGUUGGAUUAAGGUUGAUUUUUGGUGUAGGAGCUGAAUUGAUUAGGUCUGUUCGACCUUUAAAAUCUUACGUGAUCUGAG